rnacentral:tmRNA from 1 species
GGGGGUGUUCGCUUUGACAGGAUAACGGAUAUAAAGCGUGCAAGCCGAGUAUUCCAGGUAGCUCGUAAAACUCCCUGGAGGCACCUAAUAACUGCCAACAUUUUUUCUCCCGAAAGGGAGUUAGCCUACGCCUAACAGCGAAGGCCGUCUCUCUGCCCAUUCUCGGUAAGCAGAAUCAGGCGUCAUUCUCCGAGAUUGAUAGAUCUUUCCCGGCCCGGAAGAUCCUUUGAACCAUUACGGGCCGCAAGAGAUGGAGGGUCUUGCCCGAUUCCCACCUUCAUUUCUUUACCGAACCGGGCUGAGCUUGCGAAAUCUCUUUAUUCUUCCUAUUCCUGGACACGAGUUCAAUCUCGUCACCUCCACCA